GAAAACCACGGUGGUACAGGAUGGGCCCGCGUCUGAUUAGUUAGUUGGCAGGGUAACGGCCUACCAAGACAACGAUCAGUAGCCGGCUUGAGAGAGUGGACGGCCACAUUGGGACUGAGACACGGCCCAGACUCCUGCGGGAGGCAGCAGUGGGGAAUAUUGCACAAUGGGGGGAACCCUGAUGCAGCAAUGCCGCGUGGGUGAAGAAGCACUCCGGUGCGUAAAGCCCUGUCAGCAGGGAAGAAAAUGACAGUACCUGGACAAGAAGCCCCGGCUAACUACGUGCCAGCAGCCGCGGUAAUACGUAGGGGGCAAGCGUUAUCCGGAUUUACUGGGUGUAAAGGGAGCGCAGGCGGCGUGGCAAGUCAGAUGUGAAAACCCGGGGCCCAACCCCGGGAGUGCAUUUGAAACUGCCAUGCUGGAGUGCCGGAGAGGUAAGCGGAAUUCCUAGUGUAGCGGUGAAAUGCGUAGAUAUUAGGAGGAACACCAGUGGCGGAGGCGGCUUACUGGACGGUAACUGACGCUGAGGCUCGAAAGCGUGGGGAGCAAACAGGAUUAGAUACCCUGGUAGUCCACGCCGUAAA
rnacentral:rRNA from 1 species